rnacentral:rRNA from 1 species
CUGUAGCAAGGUUAACCGUAUAGGGGAGCCGAAGGGAAACCGAGUCUUAACUGGGCGUUAAGUUGCAGGGUAUAGACCCGAAACCCGGUGAUCUAGCCAUGGGCAGGUUGAAGGUUGGGUAACACUAACUGGAGGACCGAACCGACUAAUGUUGAAAAAUUAGCGGAUGACCUGUGGCUGGGGGUGAAAGGCCAAUCAAACCGGGAGAUAGCUGGUUCUCCCCGAAAGCUAUUUAGGUAGCGCCUCGUGAACUCAUCUUCGGGGGUAGAGCACUGUUUCGGCUAGGGGGCCAUCCCGGCUUACCAACCCGAUGCAAACUACGAAUACCGAAGAAUGUUAUCACGGGAGACACACGGCGGGUGCUAACGUCCGUCGUGAAGAGGGAAACAACCCAGACCGCCAGCUAAGGUCCCAAAGUCAUGGUUAAGUGGGAAACGAUGUGGGAAGGCACAGACAGCCAGGAUGUUGGCUUAGAAGCAGCCAUCAUUUAAAGAAAGCGUAAUAGCUCACUGGUCGAGUCGGCCUGCGCGGAAGAUGUAACGGGGCUAAACCAUG